GGGGUUGUAACUCAGUGGUAGAGUGUUCGCUUGACAUGCGAAAAGCCCGGAGUUCAAUCCUCGCAACUCCA
rnacentral:tRNA from 1 species